GCUUGGUUAGCACAUUUAUUUCCAAAAUAAAAUUAACUUCAGGGUUUCAAAAAAUCUCUGUCUCUCUGCCUGUCUCUUUCUCUCUGUUUGUCUCUUUGUGUGUGUUUAUGUUUUCAAGAUGAAGGCCUUUAUAGGAGGCAAAAGAGAAAAGCUAAGCCAAUCUUAGAGAGAAAUAAAGAAAUAUCUAUAGUAGGAUGUACAGCAUACAAAAUCAAUGCAAUUUGAUGCACUUUUUUCCAGAAGGGCAGGACAAGAGACAAGUAACUGCCCCCAGGGACUCACUCAGCCUUGACAUAUGCUUGAACACAUAGAUUUCACGUUGAACACUAGCUGUUGUACAUUUAGUUAAUGCUAGAUGCUACAUUCUUUAUCUUCUUCUGCCAGGACACCAUCUUGUCUAGUGAAUAAUAUUAUUCCCAAUUUAUAGACGAGAAGACUUGGACUUAGAGAGAUAACUAACAUGUUCCAAGUUUGCAAUUCUACGGUGGAAGAGCUGGGAUUUUUAUCUAGGUCACUGUAACUUCACACUUAACUUCUAUGUUCUCUCUCUCUCUCUCUCUCUCUCUCUCUCUCUCUCUCUGUCCUAGAGUGAAGAAGAGUGCUCACCAGAUUCCCUUCUGGUCUGGAAAAAGAAAUUCCUUCUUUUGUGGAUGUCAUCUCUACCAUCUCUCGAAAAAUACUCCCAGAAGUUUGUUUGCAUUAUGAAGAUCAGGUCUUGAGAGACCCAGUCUGGCUCUUCCCUGUACAAAACAUUCCUCACAAACAGAAUAUGGACAAUUGCUAAAUGUCAAAGGUAAAGUUAUUGUGGGAACUCCUUCAAAAAGUUCAAGUGAGAGCUCAUUCUAUGAGGGACCAUUUACACCUAAUUUUUUUGUGUGUGCUAUGUUACUUAUUCUGAAGUGGUUGAUCCAAUUACUAAAAGGGAAUAUUGCAUUACCUUUUAUUUCCUAUAGCAUCCAUUCUGACCCC
rnacentral:lncRNA from 10 species